CCACAACUAAUCUCUCUCUUUUCUUUUUAAUUAGUAUUAUUAACACUUUAUUACAUUAAAUUAAAAAGAGAUUAGUGGAUGAAAAUCUGAGCAGGGAUGGAUGGGUGGGUUAUUAUUGUCAACUGACUAUCACCUCAAUCUCCUAAUCAUAAUUUUGGGUUAAAUCGGAAUUGAAUUUUUUUUCAAUAGAAUUAUUUGAUUAUUUUGAUUAAUUCGGUUAUAACCGUUUGUUU
rnacentral:lncRNA from 1 species